rnacentral:rRNA from 1 species
CCUACGGGCGGCAGCAGUGGGGAAUAUUGGACAAUGGGCGAAAGCCUGAUCCAGCCAUGCCGCGUGUGUGAAGAAGGCCUUCGGGUUGUAAAGCACUUUCAGUGGGGAAGAAAGCCUUGGGGCUAAUACCCUCGAGGAAGGACAUCACCCACAGAAGAAGCACCGGCUAACUCCGUGCCAGCAGCCGCGGUAAUACGGAGGGUGCGAGCGUUAAUCGGAAUUACUGGGCGUAAAGCGCGCGUAGGCGGUCUGAUAAGCCGGUUGUGAAAGCCCCGGGCUCAACCUGGGAACGGCCUCCGGAACUGUCAGGCUAGAGUGCAGGAGAGGAAGGUAGAAUUCCCGGUGUAGCGGUGAAAUGCGUAGAGAUCGGGAGGAAUACCAGUGGCGAAGGCGGCCUUCUGGACUGACACUGACGCUGAGGUGCGAAAGCGUGGGUAGCAAACAGGAUUAGAUACCCGAGUAGUC